UACGUAGGUGGCAAGCGUUGUCCGGAUUUAUUGGGUUUAAAGGGUGCGUAGGCGGCUUAUUAAGUCAGUGGUGAAAGCCUGAAGCUCAACUUCAGAAUUGCCAUUGAUACUGAUGAGCUUGAGUAUAGUUGAGGUGGGCGGAAUGUGUCAUGUAGCGGUGAAAUGCUUAGAUAUGACACAGAACACCGAUUGCGAAGGCAGCUCACUAAGCUAUAACUGACGCUGAUGCACGAAAGCGUGGGGAGCAAACAGG
rnacentral:rRNA from 1 species